UACGGAGGGUGCAAGCGUUAUCCGGAUUUACUGGGUUUAAAGGGUGCGUAGGUGGGCAGGUAAGUCAGUGGUGAAAUCUCCGAGCUUAACUCGGAAACUGCCAUUGAUACUAUCUGUCUUGAAUUAUCUGGAGGUAAGCGGAAUAUGUCAUGUAGCGGUGAAAUGCGUAGAUAUGACAUAGAACACCAAUUGCGAAGGCGGCUUACUGCGGAUCGAUUGACGCUGAGGCACGAAAGCGUGGGGGGCAAACAGG
rnacentral:rRNA from 1 species